CUCAAAGUCAAACGUUUCUUGGUUCAAAUCUCAGCUUCAGCAGGGUUUGCAUGUUCUCCCUGUGCUUGAAUAGGGUUUCUCAGGAUAGUCCAGCGUUCUCCCAUACUUCAACAAUAUGCAUGAAGGGUAAAUUAAACACUCGAAAUUGUUAAUUGGUGUGACUGUCAGUGUGAAUGCUUGUUUGUCUACAUGUGCCCUGCAAUUGUCUAGCGACCUGCCCAGAGUGUACUUUGCAUCUCGCACAAAGUCAACUGGCACAAGCUCCAGCUCACCUGUAACCGUUUGAGGACAAGUGGCAAAGAAAAUGGAUGAAUGGCACUGUAAUUUAAUUAGCUAAAAUCAAGUUCACGUCUUGAAAAGAGUUGCUGAUGUUUUGGGUGCAGACAAGCUAUGUUGCUACCAGGCUUAAAAAGAACAUUUGAAGUUUAAAACUCCUUCCUAUGAUCAUGAAAAAUGUUCAUGACUGAAAAUGAAAGCUGUCCUCCCUAUAGUGUGCAUGUACAACUUUUCAAGCGCUGAUAUUGAUACUUCCAUUGGAAACUGUUGACAGACGGAAAGUGUGAGGGACUGAAUAGGAACAGACUAAAGGCCACUUGGCAAGACACUGACGGACUCGACUUUCCCAUUCAUUGUGUGUGUGCUGAGAGGGCGUCAGAGCGUUUUGACGUUUUGGCCUCUAACGCUCAGCGUUGCCUCUUCGGAUGGAAAAAUGUUCUAUUCUGGACCGUUGAGGCCGUUACAUCAACAAGCUCCUCCAAUGGGAGAGAGGCUGCCGCAGUGAUUUCUGAGUGCUAUUUGGGCGGACUUGUACCAUAAAUGGCAAGGGGGAAAUGGAGGACGCUCUAAUGCAAGCGGUUUCUCUUUGUCCCCAAAUCUCUGCUGAGCCUGAAAUAUAUCUCCAAGCGGUCUUGGUAAUAUUGUAGCUCACAAACAAGCCUAAAAAAGACAGCGACAUUUUCCCGAGGUGCACUCUAGUUCUUCAGUGGGAAAAACCUUUCUGUUUACUUCCUGAUUGGUCGCUAGGUCAGCAGUUUCAAAUAUGGGAUGGCCGUUGCCGUCGACAUUGCGCUUUGACGCCGGGGUCUUUCACACUGAGCAAGUGCAGUGUGAAAAGGCCUUAAUGUAGCAGGAUGUCAUAUAAAUGAUCAGUUGUAACAUUACAGUGUUCCAUUAGAGGUAUACCUAUUGAGGUACACUAUUAUUUUUGUCCCCUAAAAUCUUAAUAGAGCUGCAGUUUACUGUAGAUGGCUGAUGUAUAUAUACAGUAUGUAUGCAUGUAGGAGUAUGACACGUAUGACAUCUAUCCAUUAUUCCACAUUAAAAGUGAAGUAAGCAAUUAGGUAAAAAACACUUUUUAUCAUAUACUGUAUAUUAUAAGGCGGCACGGUGGACGACUGGUUAGAGCAUCAGCCUCACAGUUCUGAGGACCAGGGUUCAAUCCCCGGUACCGCCUGUGUGGAGUUUGCAUGUUCUCCCCGUGCCUGCGUGGGUUUUCUCCGGGCACUCCGGUUUCGUCCCACAUCCCAAAAACAUUGGAGACUCUAAAUUGCCCGUAGGUGUAAAUGUGAGUGCGAAUGGUUGUUUGUUUGUAUGUGCCCUGGGAUUGGCUGGCGACCAGUUCAGGGUGUACCCCGCCUCCUGCCCGAUGAUAGCUGGGAUAGGCUCCAGCACGCCCGCGACCCUAGUGAGGAGAAGUGGCCUGUAAUUUAACUUUCAUUAUUAAUUUAGAAAGUCUCUGUGACGGAGAGAAUUGUCCAAUUUGACACUGUAUAGACUGGAGGCGUGGGCUGGGAGUGUGUCAAUCAUUUUCUCAUGUACGCGCAUUUAUACCAGAAGGAAGCUGUGGGAACAAUGGAUACAACUCAAGGAUAAAACAUGAAACAACUUCCAUGACGAACUGAAUAUUAUUCCAUUGACAAUGUCUGUAUGUAUCUGUAGUUUCAUUGUGAGACAAUUUUGGGCUCAUUCUCAAGUAUUUUUUCCGGAUGCAUAUUCAUUUAUAUUACCGUGUUUUCAUGACCAUAAGGCGCACUUAAAAGUCUUAAAUUUUCACCAAAAUGGACGGGGCGCCUUAUAAUGCGGCGCGCCCUAUGUGUGCACCGAGUUCCAAAAUAUGUAAAUGUUGUUGUGUGACUUUAAUGAGCGCUCCGCUUCACUGACUGGGAGCAUUUCCUGCCAACACGCUGUUUAUAUCGAGGAAGGUGGACGUGACUGAGGACAGCAUGCGGACGUAAAGUGGGAAGGGUGCGCGUGACAGAGGACGCUAAAGACAUAGGUAUAUAAUUAUGGUAUGUGCAUCGGUUUGACUAAGGACCCCCGAAAAUGGCACCUACGAAGAGAUACGCUUACGAAGCACAGUUUAAACUGCAAGCUAUGAGUUACGCAGAGGAGCAGCCGCAGCAGUGAGAGAAUUCAAAAUCAUCAAAUCCAUGGUUUGCAAGUGGAGGAAGCAGGAAAACGAGUAAUGCCAAGUCAAGAAGAGGAAGCUGAGUUUCCGCGGAAAAAGAAGAAAAACAAAACGCGGAAACAAGGCGAGGUGGCCCGAGUUGGAAGACCAACUCGAGCAAUGGAUUAAUGAGCAAAGAACAGCCGGGAGAAGCGUCUCUACAGUCACCAUUCGACCGAGUGCAAUAACUCGGAGCUUUCCAUCAUUCCAGGCGGCUUGACGAAGGAACUCCAACCGCUGGACAUCCGUGUAAACAGGGUGUUCAAAGUGAAGUUGCGAGCGGUGUGGGAGCCAUGGAUGACAGCUGGCGAACACAGUUUAAGUAAGACUAGGAGGCAGCGCCGGGCGAGUCACAAUUUGUGAACGGAUUAUGGAUGCUUGGGCUAACGUGUCUGCUUGCACUGUUUUUCGAGCUUUCGUAAAAGCCGGCAUCAUUUGUGAGGAGCCGCACGGCAACAAGACUGACUCCGACAAUGAUGAGAGGGAACCUGCCGUGUUUGAUGGAGAACUUGCCCAGCUUUUCAUUUCGGAUACAGAUGAGGACUUUGAUGGAUUUGUGGAUUAGAUACAGAUGAGGAUUGAUAAAAAAAUAAUUUAUACAAGGGUCCAUCAAGGUCACUGCCCAUGAAAAAAACCUGAGACCUCCACCUCCUGCUGUUUCAACAAUUGUUACAGGAGAGAGUCUCUCUGACUGGUCAAUGGGUUUCUGUCACCAGGGGCCUGUUGCAGCUUACAACAGCAAAGGCCUGAUGAUCUACUCAAGUGUUGCAAACUCAACUCAGCAGAGGCCAAGGACACUACCCGAUCAAGAUUGGAGUGACACGAGCCAGUCCUGGAAUACUGGGCAAACCUCUUAGAAUGAUGUAAUGGAACCAUGCAUACAGUAUAUCUUGUGAAUAAAAUGUUUUUAAAUACUUUUGAUUCGUGUUAUAUUUGUUGUUUUAAAUAUACAAUCCAUAAACAAGCGUUGUAUAGGGCACUGAUGUUUAUGAACUGGAAGGCGAUAUGAAAUGUAACUGAUUUCUGAGUGGAAAUUGUGGAGAAGGAAGCAUUCAUUUUCAGUUUUUUAAUUCAUAACAAUUGAACAAUUUCAAAAAGGUAGAGAUAAAUGUGCAAACAUUCCUGGAAGUAAAUUUAAAAAAUAAACUGUAAAUGACAAAUAUUUAAAAAGUAAUUCAGCAUGCACAUUUCUACUGGAGCAAUGCUUCGAAAAUAUUACAUUUUGUUGUCGCUUUGUGUGAAUCCUAUAUAAUGUCCUUGGGGAUUG